rnacentral:tRNA from 1 species
UGGGAAGUAGCUCAGCUUGGUAGAGCACUUGGUUUGGGACCAAGGGGUCGCAGGUUCGAAUCCUGUCUUCCCGA